rnacentral:rRNA from 1 species
GACAGAGGGUGCAACCGUUGUUCGGAAUUACUGGGCGUAAAGCGCGUGUAGGCGGCUAGGUAAGUCAGGCGUGAAAUCCCACGGCUCAACCGUGGAAGUGCACCUGAUACUGCAUAGCUAGAGUCCUGGAGAGGAAGGUGGAAUGCUUGGUGUAGAGGUGAAAUUCGUAGAUAUCAAGCGGAACACCGGUGGCGAAGGCGGCCUUCUGGACAGUGACUGACGCUGAGACGCGAAAGCGUGGGGAGCAAACAGG